AGCAGCCGCGGUAAUUCCAGCUCCAAUAGCGUAUAUUAAAGUUGUUGCAGUUAAAAAGCUCGUAGUUGAAUUUCGGGAUCAGACUGUCGGUCGUGCCUCGGUACGCACUGGCAUUAUUGGUUCCUACCUUCUGAAGAACCGCGAUGUCAUUAAUUUGGUGUCGCGGGGAAUCAGGACUGUUACUUUGAAAAAAUUAGAGUGUUUAAAGCAAGCGCACGCUUGAAUACAUUAGCAUGGAAUAAUGAAAUAGGACGUUUGAUUCUAUUUUGUUGGUUUCUAGGAUCGACGUAAUGAUUAAUAGGGAUAGUUGGGGGCAUUAGUAUUCAAUUGUCAGAGGUGAAAUUCUUGGAUUUAUUGAAGACUAACUACUGCGAAAGCAUUUGCCAAGGAUGUUUUCAUUAAUCAAGAACGAAAGUUAGGGGAUCGAAGACGAUCAGAUACCGUCGUAGUCUUAACCAUAAACUAUGCCGACUAGGGAUCGGAUGAUGUUAAUUUUAUAAUGACUCAUUCGGCGCCUUACG
rnacentral:rRNA from 1 species